GGUAUGGGAUGAGCUUGCGUCCGAUUAGCUAGUUGGCGGGGCAACGGCCCACCAAGGCGACGAUCGGUAGCCGGCCUGAGAGGGUGAUCGGCCACAUUGGGACUGAGAUACGGCCCAGACUCCUACGGGUGGCAGCAGUAGGGAAUAUUGCACAAUGGGGGAAACCCUGAUGCAGCAACGCCACGUGUGGGAAGAAGCAUUUCGGUGUGUAAACCACUGUCAUGAGGGAAUAAGGCCCGCCUCCGGACGGGAUUGAAUGUACCUUGAGAGGAAGCACCGGCAAACUUCGUGCCAGCAGCCGCGGUAAUACGAGGGGUGCAAGCGUUGUUCGGAAUUACUGGGCGUAAAGGGAGCGUAGGCGGAGAUUCAAGCGGAUUGUACAAUCCCGGGGCCCAACCCCGGCUCUGCAGUCCGAACUGGAUCUCUUGGAUAGUUCAGGGGCAGGC
rnacentral:rRNA from 1 species